CCUACGGGUGGCAGCAGUGGGGAAUAUUGCGCAAUGGGCGAAAGCCUGACGCAGCGACGCCGCGUGAGGGAUGAAGGUCUUCGGAGCGUAAACCUCUUUUAGCAGGGAAGAACGGUCACUGUGCUAAUCAUCAGUGAAUUGACGGUACCUGCAAAGGAAGCACCGGCUAACUCCGGGCCAGCAGCCGCGGGAAUACGGAGGGUGCUAGCGUUAAUUGGAAUUAUUGGGCGUAAGGCGAGCGUAGGCGGUAUGUCAAGUCAAGGGUGAAAGCCCCGGGCUCAACGGGGGAACUGCCUUUGAUACUGGCAGACUGGAGUGUGUGAGAGGAUGGUGGAAUUCCAGGUGUAGGGGUGAAAUGCGUAGAUAUCAGGAAGAACAUCAGUGGCGAAGGCGACUAUCUGGCACAUAACUGACGCUGAGGAGCGAAAGCGUGGGUAGCAAACAGGAUUAGAUACCCCAGUAGUC
rnacentral:rRNA from 1 species